UUAAGCGACUAAGCGUACACGGUGGAUGCCUGGCAGUCAGAGGCGAUGAAGGACGUGCUAAUCUGCGAUAAGCGUCGGUAAGGUGAUAUGAACCGUUAUAACCGGCGAUUUCCGAAUGGGGAAACCCAGUGUGAUUCGUCACACUAUCAUUAACUGAAUCCAUAGGUUAAUGAGGCGAACCGGGGGAACUGAAACAUCUAAGUACCCCGAGGAAAAGAAAUCAACCGAGAUUCCCCCAGUAGCGGCGAGCGAACGGGGAGGAGCCCAGAGCCUGAAUCAGUGUGUGUGUUAGUGGAAGCGUCUGGAAAGGCGCGCGAUACAGGGUGACAGCCCCGUACACAAAAAUGCACAUGCUGUGAGCUCGAUGAGUAGGGCGGGACACGUGGUAUCCUGUCUGAAUAUGGGGGGACCAUCCUCCAAGGCUAAAUACUCCUGACUGACCGAUAGUGAACCAGUACCGUGAGGGAAAGGCGAAAAGAACCCCGGCGAGGGGAGUGAAAAAGAACCUGAAACCGUGUACGUACAAGCAGUGGGAGCACAGAGCAAUCUGUGUGACUGCGUACCUUUUGUAUAAUGGGUCAGCGACUUAUAUUCUGUAGCAAGGUUAACCGAAUAGGGGAGCCGAAGGGAAACCGAGUCUUAACUGGGCGUUAAGUUGCAGGGUAUAGACCCGAAACCCGGUGAUCUAGCCAUGGGCAGGUUGAAGGUUGGGUAACACUAACUGGAGGACCGAACCGACUAAUGUUGAAAAAUUAGCGGAUGACUUGUGGCUGGGGGUGAAAGGCCAAUCAAACCGGGAGAUAGCUGGUUCUCCCCGAAAGCUAUUUAGGUAGCGCCUCGUGAAUUCAUCUCCGGGGGUAGAGCACUGUUUCGGCAAGGGGGUCAUCCCGACUUACCAACCCGAUGCAAACUGCGAAUACCGGAGAAUGUUAUCACGGGAGACACACGGCGGGUGCUAACGUCCGUCGUGAAGAGGGAAACAACCCAGACCGCCAGCUAAGGUCCCAAAGUCAUGGUUAAGUGGGAAACGAUGUGGGAAGGCCCAGACAGCCAGGAUGUUGGCUUAGAAGCAGCCAUCAUUUAAAGAAAGCGUAAUAGCUCACUGGUCGAGUCGGCCUGCGCGGAAGAUGUAACGGGGCUAAACCAUGCACCGAAGCUGCGGCAGCGACACUGUGUGUUGUUGGGUAGGGGAGCGUUCUGUAAGCCUGUGAAGGUGUGCUGUGAGGCAUGCUGGAGGUAUCAGAAGUGCGAAUGCUGACAUAAGUAACGAUAAAGCGGGUGAAAAGCCCGCUCGCCGGAAGACCAAGGGUUCCUGUCCAACGUUAAUCGGGGCAGGGUGAGUCGACCCCUAAGGCGAGGCCGAAAGGCGUAGUCGAUGGGAAACAGGUUAAUAUUCCUGUACUUGGUGUUACUGCGAAGGGGGGACGGAGAAGGCUAUGUUGGCCGGGCGACGGUUGUCCCGGUUUAAGCGUGUAGGCUGGUUUUCCAGGCAAAUCCGGAAAAUCAAGGCUGAGGCGUGAUGACGAGGCACUACGGUGCUGAAGCAACAAAUGCCCUGCUUCCAGGAAAAGCCUCUAAGCAUCAGGUAACAUCAAAUCGUACCCCAAACCGACACAGGUGGUCAGGUAGAGAAUACCAAGGCGCUUGAGAGAACUCGGGUGAAGGAACUAGGCAAAAUGGUGCCGUAACUUCGGGAGAAGGCACGCUGAUAUGUAGGUGAAGUCCCUCGCGGAUGGAGCUGAAAUCAGUCGAAGAUACCAGCUGGCUGCAACUGUUUAUUAAAAACACAGCACUGUGCAAACACGAAAGUGGACGUAUACGGUGUGACGCCUGCCCGGUGCCGGAAGGUUAAUUGAUGGGGUCAGCGCAAGCGAAGCUCUUGAUCGAAGCCCCGGUAAACGGCGGCCGUAACUAUAACGGUCCUAAGGUAGCGAAAUUCCUUGUCGGGUAAGUUCCGACCUGCACGAAUGGCGUAAUGAUGGCCAGGCUGUCUCCACCCGAGACUCAGUGAAAUUGAACUCGCUGUGAAGAUGCAGUGUACCCGCGGCAAGACGGAAAGACCCCGUGAACCUUUACUAUAGCUUGACACUGAACAUUGAGCCUUGAUGUGUAGGAUAGGUGGGAGGCUUUGAAGUGUGGACGCCAGUCUGCAUGGAGCCGACCUUGAAAUACCACCCUUUAAUGUUUGAUGUUCUAACGUGGACCCGUGAUCCGGGUUGCGGACAGUGUCUGGUGGGUAGUUUGACUGGGGCGGUCUCCUCCUAAAGAGUAACGGAGGAGCACGAAGGUUGGCUAAUCCUGGUCGGACAUCAGGAGGUUAGUGCAAUGGCAUAAGCCAGCUUGACUGCGAGCGUGACGGCGCGAGCAGGUGCGAAAGCAGGUCAUAGUGAUCCGGUGGUUCUGAAUGGAAGGGCCAUCGCUCAACGGAUAAAAGGUACUCCGGGGAUAACAGGCUGAUACCGCCCAAGAGUUCAUAUCGACGGCGGUGUUUGGCACCUCGAUGUCGGCUCAUCACAUCCUGGGGCUGAAGUAGGUCCCAAGGGUAUGGCUGUUCGCCAUUUAAAGUGGUACGCGAGCUGGGUUUAGAACGUCGUGAGACAGUUCGGUCCCUAUCUGCCGUGGGCGCUGGAGAACUGAGGGGGGCUGCUCCUAGUACGAGAGGACCGGAGUGGACGCAUCACUGGUGUUCGGGUUGUCAUGCCAAUGGCACUGCCCGGUAGCUAAAUGCGGAAGAGAUAAGUGCUGAAAGCAUCUAAGCACGAAACUUGCCCCGAGAUGAGUUCUCCCUGACCCUUUAAGGGUCCUGAAGGAACGUUGAAGACGACGACGUUGAUAGGCCGGGUGUGUAAGCGCAGCGAUGCGUUGAGCUAACCGGUACUAAUGAACCGUGAGGCUUAACCUU
rnacentral:rRNA from 1 species